GAUGAACGCUAGCGGCAGGCAUAAUACAUGCAAGUCGAACGGUGUCUUCGGACAUAGUGGCGCACGGGUGCGUAACACGUAUGCAACCUACCUUACAUUGGGGGAUAGCCUUUCGAAAGGGAGAUUAAUACCGCAUAAGACAGUAGCUGGGCAUCCAGCAGCUGUUAAAGAUUUAUCGAUGUAAGCUGGGCAUGCGUCCAAUUAGCUAAUUGGUGAGGUAACGGCUCACCAAGGCAAUGAUUGGUAGGGGAACUGAGAGGUCAAUCCCCCACACUGGCACUGAGAUACGGGCCAGACUCCUACGGGAGGCAGCAGUAGGGAAUAUUGGGCAAUGGACGCAAGUCUGACCCAGCCAUGCCGCGUGCAGGAUGAAGGCGUUAUGCGUUGUAAACUGCUUUUAUACAGGAAGAAACGACUCUUGCGAGAGGCAUUGACGGUACUGUAUGAAUAAGCACCGGCUAACUCCGUGCCAGCAGCCGCAGUAACAC
rnacentral:rRNA from 1 species